rnacentral:rRNA from 1 species
GACGAACGCUGGCGGCGUGCUUAACACAUGCAAGUCGAACGGAAAGGCCCUGCUUUUGUGGGGUGCUCGAGUGGCGAACGGGUGAGUAACACGUGAGUAACCUGCCCUUGACUUUGGGAUAACUUCAGGAAACUGGGGCUAAUACCGGAUAUGAGCUCCUGCUGCAUGGUGGGGGUUGGAGAGUUUCGGCGGUUGGGGAUGGACUCGCGGCUUAUCAGCUUGUUGGUGUGGUAGUGGCUUACCAAGGCUUUGACGGGUAGCCGGCCUGAGAGGGUGACCGGCCACAAGGGGACUGAGAUACGGCGCAGACGCCUACGGGAGGCAGCAGUGGGGAAUAUGGCACAAUGGGCGGAAGCCUGAGGCAGCAACGCCGCGUGCGGGAUGACGGCUUUCGGGUUGUAAACCGCUGUCGCCGGUGACGAAGCGUGAGUGACGGUAAUGGGUAAAGAAGCACCGGCUAACUACGUG